GACGCUGGCGGCGUGCCUAAUACAUGCAAGUAGAACGCUGAAGGAGGAGCUUGCUUCUCCGGAUGAGUUGCGAACGGGUGAGUAACGCGUAGGUAACCUGCCUGGUAGCGGGGGAUAACUAUUGGAAACGAUAGCUAAUACCGCAUAAGAGUAGAUGUUGCAUGACAUUUGCUUAAAAGGUGCAAUUGCAUCACUACCAGAUGGACCUGCGUUGUAUUAGCUAGUUGGUGGGGUAACGGCUCACCAAGGCGACGAUACAUAGCCGACCUGAGAGGGUGAUCGGCCACACUGGGACUGAGACACGGCCCAGACUCCUACGGGAGGCAGCAGUAGGGAAUCUUCGGCAAUGGACGGAAGUCUGACCGAGCAACGCCGCGUGAGUGAAGAAGGUUUUCGGAUCGUAAAGCUCUGUUGUAAGAGAAGAACGAGUGUGAGAGUGGAAAGUUCACACUGUGACGGUAUCUUACCAGAAAGGGACGGCUAACUACGUG
rnacentral:rRNA from 1 species